UGUUAUGCUUGUCUGUCUUAUUUCAGAAAGCCAGUGUUCCAGCUUUGAGAUUCUUUUCUCUGCUUCGUCUGUUCUGCUAUUACUACUUGUGAUUUCCUUAUGAAAUUCUUGUAGUAUGUUUUUUCAGCUAUAUCAGGCUAGCCCAGUCUUGUUCACAUGGAAAUUCAUUCCAAGAACAGCAAGAACCCAACAACCAAGGUCUCUGCCUUUGGCAAUAUAUCCUCUGGCUACUUCCAUUACCAAGAACUCAACUUGCCAAUACCAGAUUCCAAAACUGAGCCCACAAUGUGUCUUUGUUCAAAGAGAGGGGAAAGGCAAUCAACUACCCUGUGGAAGAUUGGUUACUUUGUACUUCUUUCUCC